UCCAUAUAAAAUUAUAUUAUCAAAUAUUUUUUGUAUGGUUUACAAGUAUAGAAUUAUAUGUAUUUCAUUUUCUUUUUGUUCAUGGUGGCCUGUGCAACCAUUAUGCAGAUGGAUGUAUCCUCCAGAUUUUGUCAACUAUAUGUAGGUGUGUAGAUUUGGCACCCAAAGUAUAGUGUAACAGUUUAAAAUCUCUCUCUCUCUCUCGACUCGAGAUUGGAAAGUGCUCUCUUCUUUAGUCUUAUCAGUGGAGGACUAAGGCUGGGGUGGCGUAACACCUUUCUGGUACACAUUAAGCAACCAGCUGAGUAUUAAGUACUGCCCGCCACAUAACGAUGGUAACAAUUUUUUGAGCAUUCAUUUAUAAUCAGAUGGCCUAUAAUUAAUUAUCUCUCUCUCUCUCUGACGUCCUCCCUCCCUUGCAGCAUGUCCGACAAACAGCCCGCCGCCCCACUCAAGGCCGAGGCUCCUGCCUGCCCCGAGACCAACACGGCCCUGCAGCACUGUGUUUUUAGCUAACCUGGAUUCUGUGAUUGCGACUGUCAGCAAGAUAAAUGUUGCCAUCAGGGUCACAAGUGAUUCCCGAGGGAUCUACCAUACACCCGGGAGAUGUUCCUGUGCUGCCAAAUGUAUUCAGCAAACAUCCGGUGGUGUAGUUCACUUCAUACACACAGUUCAACCCUGGAAGUCCAAUUACUGAUAAAACUAUUCCUUUACUGAUGCAUUAUUCGUAAACCUGGAAGGUGCCUAAUCAACUCCCCUUUUUAUGAGAGGUAAGAUAUGAAAGUGACCUGUAAUCUGUUCAAAUAUGUGUUUCUUUGGCACUUUGGCAGCAUUUGUUAGGACUUUCCUGAUUAGCUGGAUCCCUCUCUUGCUGUCAUGAAUGUAGCUGUCAGUUACUCAUGCUCCUGUGAUACUUGUUUCUAUACAUAUUUAUGUAAUCUCACCUCAUGCAAGAUUGACAAUUUUGGUUUUCAUUAAUAGUCUCAGCGGUGAUUGUAAAACAGCAACUGUCAUUGCCAUUACCAUUUGCCAGAGCUAUUGAAUCAGGUAAAAUAAACCAUUUUACCUUAGAAAGAAAAUUCCCAAGCAUAAAAUGGUGUAACCAAAUUAUGGAUAAAUUGCAAUAUAAGUAAAAAUUGAUUAUCUUUAAGAGCAUUGUUCCCUUUAACAUUCUUGGCCUUUUCUGGACUUAAAAUCUCUCACCUCAUGCUAAAUCUGAUUCCUCAAGGUUAGGCAUUAUGCAUUGUCUUUUCCUUCACAUAUUCUACCAAAAUGCCCUUGUAUGAAGGAUGCAUCUCAUGUGUGUGUGUGGAGGGACCAUUGGUGUCUCGAUAAUACAAGGCCUGACAGCUUGCUGGAUUCUUUGCCGAUGAGUCAUCCAAGUAAGGUGGAGUGUGUCCCGCGCUGUCCAACUAAAAUGUUAUUUUUUGUGUGUUUUAAUGCAUAUUUUUGUGUUAAAUAUAUUUUUUCUGUGAUAAAUAAAGGUUUUCAAACAUCAAUAUCUUCUAAACAUCAUCAAAUUCCUCCACCCCUAUAUUAUUAUAGACAACUCAAGUCACCUGCUAUCUGGCAACUACAAGUUACAUGGAGGUACUAUAGAGCAGUGCUGUCCAAACUUGUUCGCCUGUUGUACCCUUUAUUACCUUCUUCUACUGUUACGUACUCCCCAUGGCUGAUUAAACUCAAUAAUAUUAUAUUAUAUUAUAUUUAGGUACACGUACAUUAUGCGUCCUUCCUAGGUACCCGUCAGGGGCCGUCCAUCCCUCCCUUUCUCUUUUCAUUCACAGAACAUGGGAAGUUUCUGCUGUGUAUGUGUGUGUAUAUGUGCAUGUGUCUGUUCUUCGUCUUUUCACGUCCUUUGAUCUAUGCUGCAUAUAUCCCCAGGGGUAUGUGGAACCCAGUUUGGACAACACUGCAGAGUGGUGAAUCUCAGUCUCACAUUUUGAAGACAUAUAUAAUAAACGUAAACUAUUUCAUUGCUAUUAUACGAUUAUAUCUUCUUAAAAAAUAUAACAACAAAAUGUACCAUGUUAACACUGAGUUCCAUGUGGCCAUUAUAUGAGUAAAUAAUUUGUCCCAGGGACGAGAUGGUAGAAAGAGGACUGUAGCAGCCCCCUCACUUGUAGUUGCCAGAUAGCAGGGGACUGAGUUGCCUAGUAUCAGGAUGGAGGAUCGGCUUGUUGAAUAUAGUAGUAAUUGUAACCAGGGGUGUGGAGUCGGAUUUUCAAAACUCCGACUCCGACUCCAGUAAAUUUAAAUGUUGCGACUCCGACUCCGACUCUGACUCCAGUAAAUUUAAAUGUUGCGACUCCGACUCCGACUCUGACUCCAGUAAAUUUGAAGGUUGCGACUCCGACUCCGACUCCGACUCCAGGAAAUUUGAAGGUUGCGACUCCGACUCCGACUCCGACUCCAGUAAAUUUGAAGGUUGCGACUCCGACUCCGACUCCGACUCCAGUAAAUUUGAAGGUUGCGACUCCGACUCCGACUCCGACUCCAGGAAAUUUGAAGGUUGCGACUCCGACUCCGACUCCGACUCCAGUAAAUUUAAAUGUUGCGACUCCGACUCCGACUCCGACUCCAGUAAAUUUAAAUGUUGCGACUCCGACUCCGACUCCGACUCCAGUAAAUUUUAAGGUUGCGACUCCGACUCCGACUCCGACUCCAGUAAAUUUAAAUGUUGCGACUCCGACUC